rnacentral:rRNA from 1 species
UACGUAGGGGGCAAGCGUUGUCCGGAUUUAUUGGGCGUAAAGAGCGUGUAGGCGGCCAGCCAGGUCCGUUGUGAAAACUCGAGGCUCAACCUCGAGACGCCGAUGGAAACCGUCUGGCUAGAGUCCGGAAGAGGAGAGUGGAAUUCCUGGUGUAGCGGUGAAAUGCGCAGAUAUCAGGAAGAAUAUCCGUGGCGAAGGCGGCUCUCUGGUACGGCACUGACGCUGAGACGCGAAAGCGUGGGGAGCGAACAGG